UGAGCAAGAAUGUGGCGACAAUUGCAGAACAUGGUUGAGGUAUAGCAAUGAUCUCCUUUGCGAAUUCCCUCCAGAAUACUUAAUCAGUCCGGAACCUGCGUGGAAACUCGGCAUAGUCAAUUGCGAUGAUAGUAAAUUUUGCCACAAAUACGUCACACAAUUCAUAGGAGACAAUGUUAUAUUUGCACAGUUCCGCUCUGCCAAGAUGACGUCCUUUGAACUCGGUUCCCCAGAAAGUAAUCCUCAUUCACUAUGGCUCCACCAUCGUCGCAGACGAUGAAAAAGAGAAGCAGUGUAAAUCGAAGUCGGGCAAUCAACUAGAAAGCAACAACUACUUCACUCCUAAAACUCUUUAU